rnacentral:lncRNA from 1 species
UCAUGUAAUGGUUUUAUUGCCCUUUACCAAGUUAAAAAAAAAAAUACACAUUACAGAAGUAGCAGCAACUUUUAAUUACAAGCAAAGGUUGACUCUACCCCCAAAUAACUUCUUGUUUUGGUAUCAGCAAAUAAUUUAAACUUCAAAUAGUUAUAUUGAAUAUUUAAAUUCAUUGGUUAAAUAUGGCUUAAACAGUCAAAUACGUGAUCCAAACAAGGCAGCAGCACAUGAGGAUAUCUGUAAACAUGGCUGUUUACAAUGGUGAAUCGUUUUUAUUGACUAAAUACACCAAACACAAAAGUAAUGCUACUUCUUCUCAUAAUGGACUAGGACAGGAGAAUUGCUUCAGUUUCUUGCUGGGCUGCAUGGACUUACAUGGGAAACAUUUUCUUUCUUAAGAUUCAGGGAAAGGUGGUUUAAAACAAAGGCUUAAAUAAACAUAGCACCAGAAGGGCCAGGUACCAGUAAUCACAUAUUCCACCUAUUC